GACUGCCAGUAGAAGGAGUUGUCUAGCAUUUUUUUUAAUACACAUGUUGUCUCCUGCAUUAAUUUUGAUUACAGCUGGCUCCCAAUUUAGUGUUCUUCUGACAUAUAAGUAUGGAGGGAUUGUCUCUGUCUUUCCUCCCCAGUCUCCCCAGAAGCAGUAUUGAUAAAUUUAGACCUGUUCUUGGAACCUUUUUAAGGCAGUCUGAAGGGACCCGUUUGCCACAGUAUGAAUCUCUGGGCUCUAUGAAGGAAACACCCAAGUCAUCUUCAUCGGAGACAUGUGAUGAGGAUUCUUGACAAUUUCACAUUCUGCCUGAUCACAGGAAGUAAAAGGGCCUAUGCUUUUGUAGACAUUUUUCUAAUAUUCUAAAUUAUAGUGUUUUCUACUUUAUAAUAAAGCAAACAAUCUGCAAUUACUAAUA